AUGUGUGUUGGGCUUUUAGUUUAGAAGUUGUAUCGGGCCCGGGUUACUUGAGAUCGCCCUCUAACCCUAGUUCUGAUGAAAGAAGAAACGAGCUCCAUCCUCUUCUUCGUGCGGCUACGAAUCGGUGACGUCUUAGCUUCUCCUCUCCAUGUUAAACGGUCCGAGUUAUGGCUGUAUCGAAGCGUCAUCUUCUUCAAUGCCCUCAUUAACAGUAUCUCUCCACUCCACUCCUCAUUAACCCUAAUUCAAUGGAUAUCCCAUUACAUCGAUUGAAGACAAAAAUGGCUGCCUCCUCUAUCAAGACAUAAUCUGUCUGAUUCUUAGAUGGAUAUAACUUCUUCGUAUAAUCAGAACAAUGCUUGACGAUGAGAUUCAAGGAGAAGAAGCUUCAGAACCUUCUCUUAAAAGAAGAAAAGAAACUGAAAGACCAAGCUCUGCUCUACUCAUUAAUUGCUCAUAGAGCAAAGGUAUGGGAAAUCUUUAUCCACAAAGAAGAUGAUCGUGUGCAAUGCAAUUGUUGUUUCUGUAAAUUUGCAGGAACUGAAAGUGGCACUUGAAACACGUACGUACGUGAGAUAGCUGAGUGUAUUUUAGUUCCUUUUUGUAUUUUGUUCAGCUCGAGUUAUAUGUGUGUUUAGGGCUUUAAGUGCAAGUUGUUUUCUCUUCUCUGUUAUUUGUUGUAAACUUGUGAUGUGAUCAUCUUUGGACUUUGAUCAAAAAGUUAGUACAAUGUGGGUUCGAAACCUUUUUCGAGUGUGGUGUAAUAUGUUUGAAACUGAA